UACGUAGGGGGCUAGCGUUGUCCGGAAUCAUUGGGCGUAAAGCGCGUGUAGGCGGUCCGGUAAGUCCGCUGUGAAAGUCGGGGGCUCAACCCUCGAAAGCCGGUGGAUACUGUCGGGCUCGAGUACGGAAGAGGCGAGUGGAAUCCUGGUGUAGCGGUGAAAUGCGCAGAUAUCAGGAGGAACACCAAUUGCGAAGGCAGCUCGCUGGGACGUUACUGACGCUGAGACGCGAAAGCGUGGGGAGCAAACAGG
rnacentral:rRNA from 1 species